UCUGGAUACCUGGCAGAAGAACUUAAGGACACACAAAAAGGAGGUCGCUUGGCUCUUCACCAACUUUACAGCAAAUGGUAGAGAACUUCAUCAGACUAUUUUUAGGAUCAAUGUCUAAGAGCUGUUCAGAAAAACUGCUUCUAUGGAAGUGAAGCACAGCCACAGCCUGAUAAUACCCCUUAAUUCAAACAAUAUUCUGAAAAACCUAGAAAUCCUGAAGCAGAGGUGGGUCAGUUGUGUACACUUCAGAUCUGCUGCUGCCAAAGAGAAUGAUCCAGAGAUCUUUGGAGCAGUGUAUGCACUUAGACUAUAGUAGCAAGAAAUCCAGGAUGCUGUAUAGAAGACAAUGUCUACAGAAGAUUUUGAGCUCCUGAGAGAAUGGCCCUAAGUACGUUCAGCAGGCACUAAUAAAGCCUGGCCUUUAUAUGCAUGGAGUUGGCUUGCCUGGAUUCAAGUCCCAGCCCCACCACAGCUUGAUACUCAACCUUGGGUGAAUGUUCCACUGAAGUGCACCAGGUGGUCUUCUGCUAUUAUACAUAAUACCACAAUGAACAUCUUUUAACAUGUAGAAAUGAUUAUGUACUUAUAUGAUUAUAUCUGUAGAGAGAAUGUCUAAAAGUGAAACUCUUCACUAUAAGGUUAGGCAAAUUUUAAAUGUUCAUGUAUAUUGCUAAACAGCCCUCCCGAGAGGCUAUACCAAAUUUGUACUCCAGGCAGUAUGUGUAGAUAUUUCUCCACACUUCUUUCUAUACUAUUCACUGGCAAUUUUAAUUUUUUAAUCUUUAUCAGUCUCAAAAGUGAAAGGAGAAAUUUGACUUCAAUUUGCACUUUAAUUUUUUGUAGACACCCAUCUUUUCACAUGUUAGUAGCCAUUCAUUAGCUUAUGCAUACCUCAUUCCCCAUUUUCUAUUGGAUACCUGGUGGGUUUUUUUAAAUUGAUUUAUAAAGUACCUGGUAGAUUAACAUCUUUGUAAAAGCAGAUCAUUUUGGAAAAUAAUUCUGAUUAAUUUCAGCCAUGAUGAAUAUUUAUAAUUUUGAGAAUUUUAUGGCAAUUGGCAUUACUAAAUGAAAAAUGAUAAACCCUCCCCAGGGAUGAAUAGUGAAAGGAUAUCAUCUAAGUUAUUACAACAAUAAUCAUUGAAAUAAUCCAGAUUACAUGUAAGGCACAAUGCAAAGAGGUCCAAGGUGUGAUCUCUGCCAUGAAGACAUUCACAGUAAAGAAGAGAUGAUGCAUUCACAUGAAUUGAUAAUAAUCUGAGACAAUAAAAGAAAUGAGUGAUAUGACCAUCAAUACUCUAGGAAUUGAGGAAAGAAAGCUAAUUUUCACUGGUGUGGCUAAAGAAUAUUACUUGAAAGAGGACACAUGCUUGAAUAGACAGAGAGAAAGAUUUCAAGAGUAUAAAAGUGAGAAGCAAAGAGAGGAAAGAGUAAAUAGACAAAGGUGAAUGGGUUAGAGGCUUGGAUGAGGGGACAGGGGAAAGUCUAUAUGGGGAAAGGUGAAUUGGAGUCAAACCACUGAAGGGCUUGGGUAUCUGGUUUAGCUUGGAUUCUGUGCUAUAGGAGCAAAUGAAUGUUUUUGACAAGAGCACUGAAAUAACAAAAAUAAUUUUUAGGAUGAUAACUUUGGCCAGUGAAAAAUAAAUGAAGAAAUGAAUG
rnacentral:lncRNA from 1 species